rnacentral:rRNA from 1 species
GAAGCGCCAAACAUCGAAUCCUCUGAUGCUAAGGCCGUGAAGCCGCCCUGAGCUCUUCGGAGCGUAGGGGAGUGGUGGAGCCGCUGAUCCAAGGUGGUAGUAGGUGAGUGAUGGGGUGACGCAGGAAGGUAGUCCAGCCCGGGCGGUGGUUGUCCCGGGGUAAGGGUGUAGCCCGUCAUCCAGGCAAAUCCGGAUGGCACAUAAGGGUGAGACCUGAUGCCGAGCCGAUUGUGGUGAAGUGGAUGAUCCUAUGCUGU